AUUGAACGCUGGCGGCAUGCCUUACACAUGCAAGUCGAACGGCAGCGCGGACUUCGGUCUGGCGGCGAGUGGCGAACGGGUGAGUAAUGCAUCGGAACGUACCUUUCAGUGGGGGAUAACGUAGCGAAAGUUACGCUAAUACCGCAUAUUCUGUGAGCAGGAAAGCAGGGGAUCGCAAGACCUUGCGCUGAUGGAGCGGCCGAUGUCAGAUUAGCUAGUUGGUGAGGUAAAGGCCCACCAAGGCAGAGAUCGGUAGCUGGUCUGAGAGGAUGAUCAGCCACACUGGGAUUGAGAACGGCCCAGACUCCUACGGGAGGCAG
rnacentral:rRNA from 1 species